UCUGAACGACCCACUGACGCCACUACUCUCUGCAAUAAACUCCACGUGGCCACAAACGGCCCAUUACCAGACGGUUACAGACGUCACUGUCGAUCAGUUACGCUCUCCAUCUAUAAAAAGGGAUCUCUAGAUACGUUCUUCUCUAAGCUCUAAACUCCAUCUCGAAACUCUGUCAAAAUCUCAUUUAAGUGCUCCAUUUCUGUUGAAGCAGAGUACUGACUUGAGCGUCGGAGGGUCUUGCCAGAGCACCCCCAACUCCGAUCUAGACUUCCCUUGCAGGUCCCGACGACGGCCG
rnacentral:lncRNA from 1 species